GACGUAGGGGGCAAGCGUUGUUCGGAAUUACUGGGCGUAAAGGGCUUGUAGGCGGCCAACUAAGUCAGACGUGAAAUCCCUCGGCUUAACCGGGGAACUGCGUCUGAUACUGGAUGGCUUGAGUUCGGGAGAGGGAUGCGGAAUUCCAGGUGUAGCGGUGAAAUGCGUAGAUAUCUGGAGGAACACCGGUGGCGAAGGCGGCAUCCUGGACCGACACUGACGCUGAAAAGCGAAAGCCAGGGGAGCAAACGGG
rnacentral:rRNA from 1 species